rnacentral:rRNA from 1 species
CUACGGGUCGCUCCAGUAAGGAAUAUUGGGCAAUGGACGCAAGUCUGACCCAGCCAUGCCGCGUGCAGGAUGACAGCCCUACGGGUUGUAAACUGCUUUUAUACGGGAAAAAUUCCCCGGUCGUGAAUCGGGGUUGAUGGUACCGUAAGAAUAAGCACCGGCUAACUCCGUGCCAGCAGCCGCGGUAAUACGGAGGAUGCAAGCGUUAUCCGGAUUCAUUGGGUUUAAAGGGUGCGUAGGCGGAAUGAUAAGUCAGUGGUGAAAUCCUACAGCUUAACUGUAGAACUGCCAUUGAUACUGUUGUUCUUGAGUACAUUUGAAGUGGGCGGAAUGUGUCAUGUAGCGGUGAAAUGCAUAGAGAUAACACAGAACACCGAUCGCGAAGGCAGCUCACUAAACUGUAACUGACGCUGAGGCACGAAAGCGUGGGGAUCAAACAGGAUUAGAUACCCCAGUAGUC